GCAGGCUGCAACUCGCCUGCAUGAAGUUGGAAUUGCUAGUAAUCGCGAAUCAGAAUGUCGCGGUGAAUACGUUCCCGGGCCUUGUACACACCGCCCGUCACACCAUGAGAGUCGAUAACACCCGAAGCCUGUGAGCUAACCGUAAGGAGGCAGCAGUCGAAGGUGGGGUUGAUGAUUGGGGUGAAGUCGUAACAAGGUAAC
rnacentral:rRNA from 1 species